UUUUUAUAAAAAAAAAAUAUUCUAACAAAUCUAUUAAAAAUAAUAAAAAUUUAAUUAUUACCGAAUUUCUAACAUAAAGAUGCAUUAAUAGAAAUUGACACAAGAGAGAAAUUUAAUUUUUUUUUAAUAAUUAAAACUGUCCUUUAUUCAAAAAUUUAAUCAACAAAGAGAAUCACGAUCAGUAGUAGUAGAAGAAGAAGAAAUAUUAAACUCCGAAAUGCUCUCUAAAUGCGGCCUCCACACUCCCGCCCUCCCCGCCGCCGAUCUCCUCCGAUCUCUCAACACCACUUUCUCCGUCGACAUAAUCUCACUCAGAUACC
rnacentral:lncRNA from 1 species